rnacentral:rRNA from 1 species
GAUGAACGCUGGCGGCGUGCCUAAUACAUGCAAGUCGAGCGAACAGACGAGGAGCUUGCUCCUCUGACGUUAGCGGCGGACGGGUGAGUAACACGUGGAUAACCUACCUAUAAGACUGGGAUAACUUCGGGAAACCGGAGCUAAUACCGGAUAAUAUAUUGAACCGCAUGGUUCAAUAGUGAAAGACGGUUUUGCUGUCACUUAUAGAUGGAUCCGCGCCGCAUUAGCUAGUUGGUAAGGUAACAGCUUACCAAGGCAACGAUGCGUAGCCGACCUGAGAGGGUGAUCGGCCACACUGGAACUGAGACACGGUCCAGACUCCUACGGGAGGCAGCAGUAGGGAAUCUUCCGCAAUGGGCGAAAGCCUGACGGAGCAACGCCGCGUGAGUGAUGAAGGUCUUCGGAUCGUAAAACUCUGAUAUUAGGGAAGAACAAAUGUGUAAGUAACUAUGCACGUCUUGACGGUACCUAAUCAGAAAGCCACGGCUAACUACGUG